GAUGACUUAACUCAAUUGGCAGAGUGCUAUCCUGAUACGAUAGUAGUUAAAGGUUCAAGUCCUUUAGUCAUCA
rnacentral:tRNA from 1 species